GCCCUGGUGGCACAAAUGAUUGAGCUCUUGGCUGCUAACUAAAAGGUUGGUGGUUCGAAUUCACUCAGAGGCU
rnacentral:tRNA from 1 species